GCUGAUCGAACUCCUUCGAUCGAUGUCUGUCGAUUCUUUGGAUGCUCUGGAUCAUCAACAAACAUGCUUGAGAGGAUGUUGAAGAUCUUCCUAAGAUUUUGUAGGCUCACGACACUCGUAGCUCACUUUCUCACUUCCCGAACCCCAGGCUAAAACUCUAGGGAACUCACCGAAAACCUUGCACCCACUUUUCUUUCUUUUCUUUCUUUUUCUCUUGGAAGGAUAUGGACUUCCUUCUCACGC
rnacentral:lncRNA from 1 species